GCUGGAUGCAGUACUGUGUGCCUGAAGUCCAAACUACUCAGGAGGCUGAGGUAGGAGAAUUGCUUGAGCCCAGGAAUUCUGCUACAGUGCACUAUUCAAAUUGAGUGUCUACACUAAGUUCAGCAUCAAUAUGGUAACCUCCUGAGAGCAGGGGAUCACCAAGUUGCCUAAGGAGGGGUAAACCAGCACAGGUCAAAAACAGAGCAGGUCAAAACUCUCAUGCUGAUAAGUUAUGUUAAUAAAACAGCUUUCACUAUGAUGUUGUGAAAAAAUUUAAGUCACUAUGCAGUAAGUCAAAUCU
rnacentral:SRP_RNA from 10 species